rfam:Alicyclobacillus hesperidum TRH17-3-68 TRH17368ctg67, whole genome shotgun sequence.
CCGAUUGCAAGGCAAACCAGCGGAAACGCUGGGGCGCAAAGUCACGGGUCUACGGAUUCUACCUUCGGAUCUAAGAUGGCCGGGCUGCCAAG